CCACACUGGCACUGAGAUACGGGCCAGACUCCUACGGGAGGCAGCAGUAGGGAAUAUUGGACAAUGGGUGAGAGCCUGAUCCAGCCAUGCCGCGUGCAGGAGAAGGCGUUAUGCGUUGUAAACUGCUUUUGCCAGGGGAUAAAACGGUUCUGCGGAACUAAUUGAAGGUACCUGGUAGAAUAAGCCACGGCUAACUACGGUGCCA
rnacentral:rRNA from 1 species